rnacentral:rRNA from 1 species
GGUGAACGCUGGCGGCGUGCCUAAUACAUGCAAGUCGAACGAACACACGAGGAGCUUUCUCCCCUGCCGGUAGCGGCGGGCGGGUGGGUAACACGUGGAUAACCUUCCUCUUAUACUUGGGUAACUUCGGGGAAACGGUGCCAAUACCAGAUAAUAUAUUGUACCGCAUGGUUCAAUAGUUAAAGACGGUUUUGCUGUUACUUUUAGAUGGAUCCGCGGCGGAUUAGAUAGUUGGUAAGGUAACGGCUUACCAAGGCAACGGAGCGUAGCCGAUCUGAGAGGGGGAUCGGCAACACUGGAACUGAGACACGGUCAAGACUCGUACGGGAGGCAGAAGUGGGGAAUAUUGGACAAUGGGCGCAAGACUGAUCCAGCAAUUCCGCGUGGGUGAAGAAGGCCUUCGGGUUGUAAAGCCCUUUUAUGGGGAAAGAAAAGCAGCAGGUUAAUAUCCCGCUGUUGUGACGGUACCCAAAGAAUAAGCACCGGCUAACUUCGUG